UACAGAGGUCUCAAGCGUUGUCCGGAUUUACUGGGCGUAAAGAGCGCGCAGGCGGUCGUUCAAGUCGAGUGUGAAAGCCCCCGGCUCAACUGGGGAGGGUCACUUGAUACUGAUCGACUCGAAGGCAGGAGAGGGAAGCGGAAUUCCCGGUGUAGUGGUGAAAUGCGUAGAUAUCGGGAGGAACACCAGUGGCGAAGGCGGCUUCCUGGCCUGUUCUUGACGCUGAGGCGCGAAAGCUAGGGGAGCAAACGGG
rnacentral:rRNA from 1 species